CCGAUGGGUGCCCGAGGCUCCCGCACAUCCAAGCACCAAGUUGCCGAUGGUGUCCGAGGCUCCCGCACAUCCUAGCCACCGAGGUGCCGAUGCUGCCCGAGGCUCCCGCACGACCAAGGGCCGAGGUGCCGAUGGUGGCCGAGGCCCCCGCACGACCAAGGGCCUAUUUUACCGAUGGUGCCCGAGGCUCCCGCACGACCAAGGGCUUAGUUUGCCGAUGGUGCCCGAGCCUCUCGCACGACCAAGGGCCUAGGUUGCCGAUGGUGCCCGAGGUUCCCGCACAUCCAAGCACCAAGGUGUCGAUGGUGCUCGAGGCUCCCGCACGACCAAGGGCCUAGGUUGCCGACAGUGUCCGAGGCUCCCGCACGACCAAGGGCCUAGUUUGCCGAUGGUGUCCGAGGCUCCCGCACAUCCCAAAGCACCUAGGGGCCGAUGGCGGCCGAGGCACCCGCACGACCAAGGGCCUAUUUUCUCGAUGGUGCCCGAGGCUCCCGCACGACCAAGGGCUUAGUUUGCCGAUGGUGCCCGAGCCUCUCGCACGACCAAGGGCCUAGGUUGCCGAUGGUGCCCGAGGUUCCCGCACAUCCAAGCACCAAGGUGCCGAUGGUGCUCGAGGCUCCCGCACGACCAAGGGCCUAGGUUGCCGACAGUGUCCGAGGCUCCCGUACAUCAUAGCACCGAGGUGCCGAUGGUCUCCGAGGCUUCCCACAACCAAGGGCAUAAUUUGCCGAUGGUGUCCGA